rnacentral:pre_miRNA from 1 species
ACAUGAAUCACCUGGGGAUCUUUUUAAAAUGUAGAUUCUAAUUCAAUAGCUCUGGAUUAGGGCCAGAGUUUCUGCAUUUCUAACAAGCUCCAAGGUGAUAGUGGU